rnacentral:lncRNA from 1 species
GUUAGUCCGGGUACAGGCAGGAAACGAUGGUCAAAGCAACACAGGAACAAAACACGAGGGUCACGGAACAUGAAACACUAGAACGAGGAAACUCAGGAACUCGGGAAACUCAAGGGACUCAGAAAACUAACGAAACUCAACAAUCUGGCGGCUUGAUUCUGUGCAAGGUGGAUGCUAAAUACCGGAGACCUGAAGAUUAUCAUACUGAGAGUCACAGCUGCAGUAGAUCAUGGUACAACUCUGAAGUGACUGAGACCUGAAGGCUUCAUUGUUUGGUGGUCAAUGGAGAAGCUGGAGAACAGACAGUUCAGCAAACUGGUUUUAACUGUGAAAUAAUUAACAAAAUCUAGAAAAGUGUUUCAGGUUAUAACAUGAAAUCAGAUGUGAAGGAUGACACUUGUGAUCCGGGAACAGGAUACUCUAGUGAUGGUAGAUGAGGCGUCAUGAACACGACACUUUGCAAAACUGUAUUGAUACUGUGUCACUGAAUACUGACACCUGCUGGACCUUAAAAAUCCCUACAGGCAACUUAGUUGACGGACUGGUUUGAUGACCUAAUAUAUACAAUAAUAUAAUUUAAGCCAUUGUAUGUUAUAUAGUAUUAUUUCACAUCUUCAUUUACAUUUAAAAUUGAUAUUUUUAGAUACAUUCGAUAAAGUGGACAUGUAUCAUAACGUAAAAAUCUAAGUGAACAUGUUGUGAAUAAGGAUGCUUUUUUUGUUUGUUUUUUUAAACAAAUGUGGUCUCUCUGCCCACUGCAAUGAGGAGAUCUUGCCAAAGGUUGUCCAGAAACAACACACUGCCAUGUUAGUACAUGAUUUCCAAACAUCAAGAAACAAAUAAUGCUGAAUAACAUGCCUGAAGUGGGUGCAGACAGCUGCUGUUCUGACUGCAGUCUACUGACGGCCUCAUUGCACUUGGAGGAACUGCGGAACCAGAGUGAUUUAAAUCUGGGCUCUAGAAGUGUUGCUGGGGUCAAAACUCUGAGGUGGUUUGGUUUAAAUAGGAAAGUUCUGUCGAAUAAAUACGAAAUUUAACCUGCA